UCUGCGCCGCAGCCCGGCGCUUACUUCAGCGGGGGUGAGGCAGGCGGAGCCCUGCCCCGCCCUUUGUUCGCGGCGCUCCCCCCGCACCCGCUCUGGGGAGGGGACUGCACCCGCCACGACCCCCCACGGCUGUGGGAUGGGCCUGCCCCGCCGCUAGGCGGAAAAAUCCUGGGAAGCCAGAUACACAAAGGACCUGCAGAACAGCUGAUUAAGCUGGUCUUAGUAUAUAGCUAAAUUUCUAGGGGAACUUGGCUCUAACUAAAGAGGACCUCACUACACCUGGGGCUACAAAGAGCUUUUAGCGGGCAUCUGAAGGAAGGAAGGACUGAGAGAGGCUGAACACUGAGGAGAAAGCUGUAUUGGAGUGGAACUAAUUCCUAUCGCAGUCCUGAGAGCAAGAAGCCAGGAAAACAGCCCUGUGCCUGCUGCUCCAAGUAGGGAGUAGAGAUGAGGCUGGUAAUCUGCCAGGAGCCGGAAUGCCAGAGACCUCUGGGAGAGGUGGCCCUGAAGCCUGGGACCAAGAACUGGGUUGAGACAUUCUGUUCAGUUCUUAACCUCUGUUAUGAAAAAUAAACCUCUUUGACUGACACUGGGCAUGGCGGCAUCCACUCUGGAACUGGGGAGAAGCAAUGGCCCUGUGACAUCAACACUAAUCAGUAAUUACUAGUUUGCUGAUCUGCACAAUUAUCACAUGUGAGUCCAGUGUCUACUCCUUUACCAUUAUCC